AGUGAACGCUGGCGGUAGGCCUAACACAUGCAAGUCGAACGGCAGCACAGUAAGAGCUUGCUCUUACGGGUGGCGAGUGGCGGACGGGUGAGGAAUACAUCGGAAUCUACUUUUUCGUGGGGGAUAACGUAGGGAAACUUACGCUAAUACCGCAUACGACCUACGGGUGAAAGCAGGGGAUCUUCGGACCUUGCGCGAUUGAAUGAGCCGAUGUCGGAUUAGCUAGUUGGCUGGGUAAAGGCCCACCAAGGCGACGAUCCGUAGCUGGUCUGAGAGGAUGAUCGGCCACACUGGAACUGGGACACGGUCCAGACUCCUACGGGAGGCAGCAGUGGGGAAUAUUGGGCAAUGGGCGCAAGCCUGAUCCAGCCAUACCGCGUGGGUGAAGAAGGCCUUCGGGUUGUAAAGCCCUUUUGUUGGGAAAGAAAAGCAGCAGGUUAAUACCCCGCUGUUCUGACGGUACCCAAAGAAUAAGCACCGGCUAACUACGUG
rnacentral:rRNA from 1 species